UGAAUCAGUGUGUGUGUUAGUGGAAGCGUCUGGAAAGGCGCGCGAUACAGGGUGACAGCCCCGUACACAAAAAUGCACAUGCUGUGAGCUCGAUGAGUAGGGCGGGACACGUGGUAUCCUGUCUGAAUAUGGGGGGACCAUCCUCCAAGGCUAAAUACUCCUGACUGACCGAUAGUGAACCAGUACCGUGAGGGAAAGGCGAAAAGAACCCCGGCGAGGGGAGUGAAAAAGAACCUGAAACCGUGUACGUACAAGCAGUGGGAGCACAGAGCAAUCUGUGUGACUGCGUACCUUUUGUAUAAUGGGUCAGCGACUUAUAUUCUGUAGCAAGGUUAACCGAAUAGGGGAGCCGAAGGGAAACCGAGUCUUAACUGGGCGUUAAGUUGCAGGGUAUAGACCCGAAACCCGGUGAUCUAGCCAUGGGCAGGUUGAAGGUUGGGUAACACUAACUGGAGGACCGAACCGACUAAUGUUGAAAAAUUAGCGGAUGACUUGUGGCUGGGGGUGAAAGGCCAAUCAAACCGGGAGAUAGCUGGUUCUCCCCGAAAGCUAUUUAGGUAGCGCCUCGUGAAUUCAUCUCCGGGGGUAGAGCACUGUUUCGGCAAGGGGGUCAUCCCGACUUACCAACCCGAUGCAAACUGCGAAUACCGGAGAAUGUUAUCACGGGAGACACACGGCGGGUGCUAACGUCCGUCGUGAAGAGGGAAACAACCCAGACCGCCAGCUAAGGUCCCAAAGUCAUGGUUAAGUGGGAAACGAUGUGGGAAGGCCCAGACAGCCAGGAUGUUGGCUUAGAAGCAGCCAUCAUUUAAAGAAAGCGUAAUAGCUCACUGGUCGAGUCGGCCUGCGCGGAAGAUGUAACGGGGCUAAACCAUGCACCGAAGCUGCGGCAGCGACACUAUGUGUUGUUGGGUAGGGGAGCGUUCUGUAAGCCUGUGAAGGUGUACUGUGAGGUAUGCUGGAGGUAUCAGAAGUGCGAAUGCUGACAUAAGUAACGAUAAAGCGGGUGAAAAGCCCGCUCGCCGGAAGACCAAGGGUUCCUGUCCAACGUUAAUCGGGGCAGGGUGAGUCGACCCCUAAGGCGAGGCCGAAAGGCGUAGUCGAUGGGAAACAGGUUAAUAUUCCUGUACUUGGUGUUACUGCGAAGGGGGGACGGAGAAGGCUAUGUUGGCCGGGCGACGGUUGUCCCGGUUUAAGCGUGUAGGCUGGUUUUCCAGGCAAAUCCGGAAAAUCAAGGCUGAGGCGUGAUGACGAGGCACUACGGUGCUGAAGCAACAAAUGCCCUGCUUCCAGGAAAAGCCUCUAAGCAUCAGGUAACAUCAAAUCGUACCCCAAACCGACACAGGUGGUCAGGUAGAGAAUACCAAGGCGCUUGAGAGAACUCGGGUGAAGGAACUAGGCAAAAUGGUGCCGUAACUUCGGGAGAAGG
rnacentral:rRNA from 1 species